rnacentral:rRNA from 1 species
CAAUGGAUGACACAUGUCAUUUAUUUGAAAGGGGCAAUUGCUCCACUACAAGAUGGACCUGCGUUGUAUUAGCUAGUAGGUGAGGAAAUGGCUCACCUAGGCGACGAUACAUAGCCGACCUGAGAGGGGGAUCGGCCACACUGGGACUGAGACAAGGCCCAGACUCCUACGGGAGGCAGCAGUAGGGAAUCUUCGGCAAUGGGGGCAACCCUGACCGAGCAACGCCGCGUGAGUAAAGAAGGUUUUCGGAUCGGAAAGCUCUGUUGUAAGUCAAGAACGGGUGUCAGAGUGGAAAGUUCGCCCUGUGCCGUUCGCUUACCAGAAAGGGACGGCUAAAUACGUGCCAACAGCCGCGGUAAUACGUAGGUCCCGAGCGUUGU